UGGACCGUAGCUCAGUUGGUAGAGCAAACGACCGAUAAUCGUUUGGUCGCUGGUUCAAAUCCAGCCGGUCCAACCA
rnacentral:tRNA from 1 species